GAACUAUGCUCACCCUUUAUAGUUAUGAAAUAAUAAACAUUGUCAGUUGCAAUCAAUUCGCACGUAAUUUCCAGAUUUAUGAUGACAGUGCAAGCGUUUGCAUUGUCGAUGGGAUCUUGCUCUGAUAACGGGUUAUCAUUCAAAAGAGUAUAAAUACUCUUGAUCAAUAUUUAAAUUAGCACAAUUAAUUAGAGCUUCUCAAAGUAUUCACACUGCUCCAAAAUGAAGUUUUUCUACUUCCUUGCCUUUUUUAUUGUCAUGGUCUCAAUGGUUGAGUAUGUCAAAACUGAUUGCUGCAACUAUGUGUAUUUCCAUGGAGAAUAUAGAUGUCGUGAUGGACCCUUGACCGAAGGUAGUUGCUGUGGACGAGGUCGUUGCAAUAUCUUCUGUUGUGACUGUGAAGGAGGCUGUAGAUAAAAUCGUCGAUUUUUUCCUUACAAUUUUUUUUUUAAUUCCUGUGUUUUCAAUCUGAAAAUAAAAUAUUUGUGUUCUUAGAAGUUAAAA